rnacentral:misc_RNA from 1 species
GCAAACUUGGUCAUUUAGAGGAAGUAAAAGUCGUAACAAGGUCUCCGUAGGUGAACCUGCGGAGGGAUCAUUAACAAAUCUAACACAUACCCUGUGUAAGCGUCUGUUCCUGGCUGGGUCAAGUGGGGAGUGUGCGUGGUGUGGUCUUUCUCGUGAGAGGAAAACCCGUACGUACGCCCACCAGGAUCAACAACUCAACAAACACUAUGAUUGUCAGUCACUGUAUAUUACAACAAAAUGUAAUGACAAACAACUUUUAACAAUGGAUCUCUUGGCUCUUGCAUCGAUGAAGAACGCAGC